GAUAGCGGCGAACGAGUUAGUAACACCUUGGUACGUACCUCAAAGACGGGUAUAGCCCCGCGAAAGCGGGGGUAAUCCCCGAUACUGUCGCAAGAUGAAAGUCGCAAGACGCUUUGAUAUCGGCCUAGGUCCGAUCAGCUAGUUGGUAGGGUAACGGCCUACCAAGGCGAUGACCGGUAGGGGAGCUGAGAGGCUGACCCCCAACGACGAAACUGAGACACGGUUCGUACACCUACGGGUGGCAGCAGUCGAGAAUAUUCCACAAUGGGCGAAAGCCUGAUGGAGCGACGCCGCGUGCAGGAAGAAGGUCCUCGGAUUGUAAACUGCUUUUCUACGGGAAGAACACAAUGACGGUACCGUAGGAAUAAGAAGCUGCAAACUACGUGCCAGCAGCCGCGGUAAUACGUAGGCUUCAAGCGUUAUCCGGAUUUAUUGGGCGUAAAGGGUGUGUAGGGGGUUUCGCGCGUCUCCUGUUAAAGACCGCUGCUCAACGGCGGAAGUGCGGGGGAUACGGCGAAACUAGAGGGCGCGAGAGGUUUGCGGAACACAUGGUGUAGGGGUGACAUCCGUUGAUAUCAUGUGGAACACCGAACGCGAACGCAGCAAACUGGCGCGUUCCUGACCCUGAAACACGUAGCGUGGGGAGCAAAAAGGAUUAGAUACCCUUGUAGUCCACGCCCUAAACUAUGUCUACUAGCUGUUUCGAGUAUCGACCCUCGGAGUGGCGUAGCUAACGCGUUAAGUAGACCGCCUGGGAAGUACGGCCGCAAGGCUAAAACUCAAAGGAAUAGACGGAGACUCGCACAAGCGGUGGAUUACGAGGUUUAAUUCGAUAGUAGACGAAGAACCUUACCAGGGCUUGAAAUGUUUGCGGAAAAUCCGCGGAAACGUGGAAAUUCUCUCAAGGACCGCAAGCACAGGUGCUGCAUGGUUGUUGUCAGCUCGUGUCGUGAGAUGUUCCAUUAAGUUGGGUAACGAGCGCAACCCCUAUUGCGUGUUAUACGUGUCACGCGAAACUGCCUUGUUUUUCAAGGAGGAAGGUGGGGACGACGUCAAAUCCGCAUGGCCCUCUGAUGCCCUGGGCCACACUCAUAAUACAAUGGUUAAUACAACGGGUUGCCAAGCCGCAAGGCGGAGCUAAUCCUCCAAAAUUAGCCCCAGUUCAGAUUGAAGGCUGCAACUCGCCUUCAUGAAGUCGGAAUCGUUAGUAAUCGCAGGUCAGCUAUAGUGCGGUGAAUACGUUCUCGAGUCUUGUACUCACUGCCCGUCAAGCCAGGGGAGCCGGGGGCGAAUGAAGUUUCAGUACGGUGGAAUAAGUUCGAAUUCGGUGACAUGGGUUAAGUCGUAACAAGGUAACC
rnacentral:rRNA from 1 species